rnacentral:lncRNA from 1 species
CUUACACAGAAAAUGGAGUUUAGUCCUCACACCACCAGACUUUUGUUUUACUCUAAAACUGUCUUUGAAUCUUCACGGACAGCUGCAGAAACUGCACUUUGCAGACCCUCCUGAGCUGGUGAAUGCUUUCCCUCCAUGCUGUGGUCUCAGCCUUCUGCUCACAAGUGGCCCUACUUUUCCAGUCACAUUCACAGGAAUCUGAAACUAACCACAGUCAUGCGGCAGAGCAGUGAGAAAACGUUUUCCAGCUGCACUACCGAACUUGACGACCGGUGAGAGGCCUCUCCCCGAGCUGCCGGCCAGAGCUGGACCUGCGCCACUGGAAACAGAAGUGCAACUUUAUCACUUGACUUCAAGAAGAGCUUUUCCAGCAGCACAUGGAGACAAUCAGAAAAUCUCCCUUAUCUUUGCAAUGUCUACUAGCAACAAAUUCAAUUACAUUUUAUUUGUUGCAGACAUGUAGGAGGAGGAUACACAUUUCUCAGAAUUUCUUCAACCUUUCUCUGGUAACUUGCAGCUUCCAAACAGGAAUCUUCCUCUUGCCUUCCUCAUCAGGCUACCUGAAGAAUUCCUUGAAAGGUUUCAGACUUACAAAAAACAGGAACACUGACUGUGUUCUAACUCCCUUGCCUUUAGAACAUCCCAAAUAUCUGCCUUGGCUUGUAUCCAGAUGUCUCCCAAAGUCUCAUGUGGUCAUAGGUGGGGCUUGCUAAAUUAAUCCACUAAUUGGCAUGGCAUAGUUCUGGGAGUGGAUAAUGGGAAGGCCCAACCUGGGUGUGAGUGCUGCCUGCAGUAAGGGUGUGCAGCCUGGAUAGAAUAUAAGGGAUGGAAAGAAGGCUGCUGUCCUCACUUGCUGCCCCACUACUUCACUGCCUGCUGCCUUCUGUCUGCCAUGGACUGUUUCUUCUCUGGGAUGCCCCUCUGCCAUGCCACCCUGCCUUGGAGUCAGCCAACUAUGAACUGAGACUUCUACAUACUGUGAGCCAAAU